rfam:Butyricicoccus pullicaecorum 1.2 genomic scaffold acBRa-supercont1.1, whole genome shotgun sequence.
CUGCACUAGGCGGGGCGGUAGCGGUGCCCUCUUCCUGCAAUCCGCUAUAGCAGGGCUGAAUUCCGGUUGGGAGGUGCGGCAUCUGGAUGCUUGCAGUUAACAGGCCGGUGAUGAGAGAUUGGUACUGUGCAACGUGGGACUGUGAACCAUGUCAGGCGGGGAACCGAGCAGCAUUAAACAGAACCCUGCGUGUGCCACAGGUUUGCCGAUUUUGAACGGGCUUGGUAAAAAGGCUGUCCGGAUGUUCGUUUCGAUCUUCUGGUGUGCGG